CGCGGGGUGGAGCAGUCUGGUAGCUCGUCGGGCUCAUAACCCGAAGGUCGCAAGUUCAAAUCUUGCCCCCGCAACCA
rnacentral:tRNA from 15 species